UACGUAGGGUCCGAGCGUUGUCCGGAAUUAUUGGGCGUAAAGAGCUCGUAGGCGGUUUGUCGCGUCUGCUGUGAAAUCCCGAGGCUCAACCCCGGGCCUGCAGCCGAUACGGGCAGACUAGAGUUCGGCAGGGGAGACUGGAAUUCCUGGUGUAGCGGUGAAAUGCGCAGAUAUCAGGAGGAACACCGGUGGCGAAGGCGGGUCUCUGGGCCGAUACUGACGCUGAGGAGCGAAAGCGUGGGGAGCAAACAGG
rnacentral:rRNA from 1 species